UGGGGGAUAUUGCACAAUGGGCGAAAGCCUGAUGCAGCGACGCCGCGUGGGGGAUGAAGGCUUUCGGGUUGUAAACCUCUUUCGCUAUCGAACAAGGCCCGCUUAGGGUGGGUUGAGGGUAGGUGGAGAAGAAGCGCCGGCUAACUACGUGCCAGCAGCCGCGGUAAUACGUAGUGCGCGAGCGUUGUCCGGAAUUAUUGGGCGUAAAGGGCUUGUAGGCGGCUUGUUGCGCCUGCUGUGAAAACGCGGGGCUUAACUUCGCGCGUGCAGUGGGUACGGGCAGGCAUGGGUGUGGUAAGGGUGACUGGAAUUCCAGGUGUAGCGGUGGAAUGCGCAGAUAUCUGGAGGAGCACCGAUGGCGAAGGCAGGUCACUGGGCCAUUACUGACGCUGAGGAGCGAAAGCAUGGGUAGCGAACAGG
rnacentral:rRNA from 1 species